rnacentral:misc_RNA from 1 species
CAUUAGUUGUAACAGCAUGGAAAUGAG